CCAGCCGCUCUGCCAAUGUGCUCCCGCCUUGGCCAGUUCUCACCCGAGAGCAGCGACCCAAAAAACCCUCGGCCCAGCAUUGGAGCUGCCCACAAGGGGGAGCAUCAGGCGGCGAUAGGAAGAACCGCACUGUGUCUCACCUAAUAGCCUCGGCUUUGGUGAUCCAACUAGCCCAGCUGGGCAGUGCCAGGGCUGAGGGUCCCCCACACCCUAUUCCAAACCCCAGAGCCACCCUCUUCACUGAAAUCAGUGUUUCUGAAUCCCUCACAGGGAGCAGCAGCGAACUAAGAAUGGCAGAGGCAUCCCCAGGCUGAUAUCUUGGACUUUUCGGCAUUAACCAUCCACCUCCCCAGCUCCUCACCUGGGACCACACAUCAGCCGUCUGGUGAGGAUGCGCUCCCGGGGCCGGAUGGAUCCCUAGCGUCACCGCACCAAGGCUGCGGAAGUGACACAGGAUGGGGCAGUGACUACGGGGGGUGGCUCUCCCCACACUUACAUGGGCCGGCCGGCAAGAGAAAUACCCGCUCAGCCUACGCUGACACUGCGUCGCCCUAACGGCAUCAACACUGGCUGUGCCACUCGUGGAGGUGGAUUAAGGCAGCGGAGAGGGGCAGUUACGUCCGCGGGAGCGAAAUAACAUCCCUGUGAGGGAGGAGUCGUACCGAUGGCAGCGAGACUGAGUGACUUGUCCAAGAUCAUGGAGGAAAUCUGGGGUGAAUCAGGGAUUUGAACCUAGGUAAUCCCAAGCCCCAGGCUGCACCUCUAACCACUAGACCAUCUUCCCACCCACGGUCAGGGAAACAGCCUUCUCCCUAGCGCGGCCAACUUCUGAAGAUCAUGCUUCUGCUCCCAACAGAGAGCCCGCCCCCAACCCAGUGCAGCCAGGUCUCAGCUGACGUGACAUGGCAAGAGGAGGAUGGCCUUUGGGGUCUGAGUCUCCAUUGCCUUGCCCUGCGCAGUCACUCAUCCCUGUGUUCAGGGAAUGUAAAGCACCAUCCCCCACUUAAGGGCUCGGCCACAGCCAGCUCCCACAUUUGGAGACACAACCCAUUGCCCACGUCUGGAACAUUUCAACAGCAGCCCCUGUCGUACAAGGCAGGGGGCAAAAUACAACAGCCACCUCUUAACGGGGUCCAAUCCGGCCCUCCUUGGCUAGCACAGGAGCUGCAGAGCAGCGUGGAGUGGGGGAACAUGGUGCGGCUGCAAUCUGGAAGUGGGCCUGAAUUAAAUGACCUGGAGCCAAACGAUCAAUUGGAGCGAGAGCCAUGGGAACCGUUACAGCGAUAGCCUUAAGGAGUUCAAGCUAUGUGGCUUAAGAGAGAGCCGGUUAAGGAGUGGGGAAACAAAGAUUUGAUAAGAGGCUCUCCUGUCUGACAAGAUAGAGCGGAUGGAAAUUGAAGGCAGCCAGAUUGAGAUGGAAAAUAAGGCACCCGUGUUUUCACAGUGCAGGUAUCUAACCACUGGCACGGCUUUCCAAGGGUGGAUUCGCCAUCGCUAGCCAUUUUUAAACCAGGAUGGGACGUUUGUCUAAAAGAUCUGCUCUCAUUCGAGCAGGAAUCCAUUCAGGGCAGUCCUCUGGCUUGUGUUACAUCAGAGGUCAGAUUCCAGGGCUCUGUUCCAGCCUUGGAUUUGAUCAAAAACUCCCCAUUUGAGAUUUGGGGAAAUUCACUGGUGAAAAUGAAGGCCGGCCCCCCCGCCUAGCACAGAGAACAUCCCUCGUGGUGGAGGCGGGCGCUAAACCAACACAGCUGACCAGGCAGGACUUACCCCUGUGG